rnacentral:rRNA from 1 species
UACGUAGGGUGCAAGCGUUAAUCGUAAUUACUGGGCGUAAAGCGUGCGCAGGCGGUUAUGUAAGACAGGUGUGAAAUCCCCGGGCUUAACCUGGGAACUGCAUUUGUGACUGCAUAGCUAGAGUACGGUAGAGGGGGAUGGAAUUCCGCGUGUAGCAGUGAAAUGCGUAGAUAUGCGGAGGAACACCGAUGGCGAAGGCAAUCCCCUGGACCUGUACUGACGCUCAUGCACGAAAGCGUGGGGAGCAAACAGG